UAAAGUCUCCAAGAACCACCACCUCCGC
rnacentral:sRNA from 1 species